rnacentral:tRNA from 1 species
GGUGCGGUGGCCGAGCGGCUAGGCAGGCGCCUGCAAAGCGUCUCACGGGGGUUCGAUUCCCCCCCGCACCUCCA